rnacentral:rRNA from 2 species
AAGUGUUAGUUCAGGCAACGAAACUGCGAACAGCUCAUUAAUACGCUCAGAACCUAUUUGGUUUCGACCCAUUAGGGCCCUAUACGGAUAGCAGCAGAAAUUCUGGUGCUAAUACGUGCUGUCAAUCCAGCUUAAAUGAGUUAAGCUGAGGACAUGACCUUUAGGCGUACCAUUCGGUUGGGCGCUCUAUCAGCUUGUACGCAGUGUCUUUUACUGUGUAGGCUGUCACGGAUAACGGGUGGUUAUCGUCAGACUGCCGGAGAGGGUGCCUGAGAGACAGCAGCCAUCACCAUGGUGAGCAGCAGGCGCGAAACUUACCCACUCGCCAACGGCGGAGGUGGUAAUGGCCAGUUCCAUUGUGUCGCAAGACCAGCGGAUAGGGGCGCACCUUUCCAGUGCGCCGUAACCUAGGAGAGGGCCAGUUCUGGUGCCAGCAGCUGCGGUAAUUCCAGCUCUCCUAGUUUGCUCCCAAUGCUACACUUAAAACGCCCGUAGUCUGAAUACGAAGCUCGCAUAGAGCGUUCACCGCGAGUAAAUCAGGACGCUUAGAGUAGUUCAUAACUGAAUGACUCAGCGCGGUAUGAGAUCUUUACCCCGUAAGGGGUCAGAUCAAAGAGAGCCAUCGGGGGUAGAGCUAUUUCAUGGCGAGCGGCGGAAUGUGUUGACCCCAUGAGAGAGCAACGAAUGCGAAAGCAUCUACCUAGAGGGUUUCUGUCGAUCAAGGGCGAGAGUCGCAGGAGCCAACCGGAUUAGAGACCCGGGUAGUUGCGACCUUAAACUAUGCCGACCGGGCCUCGUCUUUACUGGCGGGGUCCUACGCGAAAGCCGGAGUCGUUGGGCUGUGGGGGAACUACGACCGCAAGGCUGAAACUUGAAGGAAUUGACGGAAGGGCACACCAGGGGUGGAUACUGUGGCUCAAUCUGACUCAACGCGGAGAAACUUACCAGGACCUGAUAUCUUUAAUGACUGACCAGCUAAAGACUGUUCAGGAUAUGAUUGUUGGUGGUGCAUGGCCGUUGGUGGUGCGUGGGUUGACCCGUCAUGCGUCGAUUCAGAUAACGAGCGAGACUACCGCCAAUUAUCUAGUUCUCCACUCUAUUGAGUGCGAAAUCUUCUAAUUGGGACUCCCUGCGUUUAAGCAGGUGGAAGAGGGUAGCAAUAACAGGUCCGUGAUGUCCUAUAGCUGCUCUGGGCCGCACGCGUUCUACAAUGCUAGAGGCACUGGGUUGCUAACCCGAGAGGGUUUGCUACUCCUUGAAUCUCUAGCGUAGUUGGGAUUGACGCUUGUAAUAAGCGUCAUGAACCAGGAAUCCCUUGUAAGCGUGUAUCAACAUUGCACGCUGAAUACGUCCCUGCCCUUUGUACACACCGCCCGUCGCUCCUACCGAUUGGAUAGACCGGUGAAAUUAUUGGACACCUUCUGGUGGAAGGUAAUUAAACCUGUCGUUUUA